rnacentral:rRNA from 1 species
GAUGAACGCUGGCGGCGUGCCUAAUACAUGCAAGUCGAGCGAACAGACGAGGAGCUUGCUCCUCUGACGUUAGCGGCGGACGGGUGAGUAACACGUGGAUAACCUACCUAUAAGACUGGGAUAACUUCGGGAAACCGGAGCUAAUACCGGAUAAUAUAUUGAACCGCAUGGUUCAAUAGUGAGAGACGGUUUUGCUGUCACUUAUAGAUGGAUCCGCGCCGCAUUAGCUAGUUGGUAAGGUAAUGGCUUACCAAGGCGACGAUGCGUAGCCGACCUGAGAGGGUGAUCGGCCACACUGGAACUGAGACACGGUCCAGACUCCUACGGGAGGCAGCAGUAGGGAAUCUUCCGCAAUGGGCGAAAGCCUGACGGAGCAACGCCGCGUGAGUGAUGAAGGUCUUCGGAUCGUAAAACUCUGUUAUUAGGGAAGAACAAAUGUGUAAGUAACUAUGCACGUCUUGACGGUACCUAAUCAGAAAGCCACGGCUAACUACGUG